rnacentral:lncRNA from 10 species
CUCAGCUGUAAUGCACUGGGCUGGUGGUAGGGUAAUAAAGUGCCCUGGUUUGCCCUGGACGAAAACCAACAGUGUUUUCUAGAUGCGAGUUAAAACUGGGACUUUCCCGGGCAAAUCAGGAUGAAUUGGUCAUCCUAGCUGAUUAGAGUGUGGGAGUGGGAUGGUUUGGGGGUCUUUUAUAAGCUGCCGUGUUUCAACUGACUAUUGGGUGGGUGAUUGUUUGCACACUUGGGUCAUUCUACCUGCUGGCUCAGGUGACUGAGACCCUUGAACUCCAGUAGGUCCAUGAGCUCUUCCUCUUACUCCUAUGUACCCUGGUUUCUCUGGGCACAAUGCCCAGAGACCAGCCUCGAGGGAAGACCACUGCUCCCAACAAUCCUCCUGGCUUACUUGCCACCAUGCCACUUCCCCUACGUAACGAACCAUUGUUGGGACUAAAGUACAUCCCUUCAGGAAGAAAACAGCAGCUCUCUACUUUGCAUCAGAGUUAGAAAAAAUGAGCUAGACCCUUUUGGCAACCCAUCUUGCAGAUGAGGAAACUGGAUUCUAGGGAAGCAAGAAGAUGGCCACCUCCAAGCCAGGAAGAGGGCCCUCACCAUGCUCCUGACCAUGCUGGUUCCCUUCAGCAGCAUGUGAAAUAGAUGUUUGUUGUUUAAGCCACCCAGUCUACAGUAUUUUUGUUACAGAAGCCUGAACUGACUUGACAAUUAGGUAGCUCCAGGCCUAGUUUUAGAUCAAAUGAGGCCUAGGGGCAUCCUUG